rnacentral:antisense_RNA from 3 species
CUUGACGGUGCCGAGCAGCAGCGGCUGCUCCGGGUCGCGGCCCUCGCCGUAGGCGGCGAUCAGGGCGUGGGCCUC